AGAGUUUGAUCAUGGCUCAGAUUGAACGCUGGCGGCAGGCCUAACACAUGCAAGUCGAACGGUAACAGGAAGCAGCUUGCUGCUUCGCUGACGAGUGGCGGACGGGUGAGUAAUGUCUGGGAAACUGCCUGAUGGAGGGGGAUAACUACUGGAAACGGUAGCUAAUACCGCAUAACGUCGCAAGACCAAAGAGGGGGACCUUCGGGCCUCUUGCCAUCGGAUGUGCCCAGAUGGGAUUAGCUAGUAGGUGGGGUAACGGCUCACCUAGGCGACGAUCCCUAGCUGGUCUGAGAGGAUGACCAGCCACACUGGAACUGAGACACGGUCCAGACUCCUACGGGAGGCAGCAGUGGGGAAUAUUGCACAAUGGGCGCAAGCCUGAUGCAGCCAUGCCGCGUGUAUGAAGAAGGCCUUCGGGUUGUAAAGUACUUUCAGCGGGGAGGAAGGGAGUAAAGUUAAUACCUUUGCUCAUUGACGUUACCCGCAGAAGAAGCACCGGCUAACUCCGUGCCAGCAGCCGCGGUAAUACGGAGGGUGCAAGCGUUAAUCGGAAUUACUGGGCGUAAAGCGCACGCAGGCGGUUUGUUAAGUCAGAUGUGAAAUCCCCGGGCUCAACCUGGGAACUGCAUCUGAUACUGGCAAGCUUGAGUCUCGUAGAGGGGGGUAGAAUUCCAGGUGUAGCGGUGAAAUGCGUAGAGAUCUGGAGGAAUACCGGUGGCGAAGGCGGCCCCCUGGACGAAGACUGACGCUCAGGUGCGAAAGCGUGGGGAGCAAACAGGAUUAGAUACCCUGGUAGUCCACGCCGUAAACGAUGUCGACUUGGAGGUUGUGCCCUUGAGGCGUGGCUUCCGGAGCUAACGCGUUAAGUCGACCGCCUGGGGAGUACGGCCGCAAGGUUAAAACUCAAAUGAAUUGACGGGGGCCCGCACAAGCGGUGGAGCAUGUGGUUUAAUUCGAUGCAACGCGAAGAACCUUACCUGGUCUUGACAUCCACGGAAGUUUUCAGAGAUGAGAAUGUGCCUUCGGGAACCGUGAGACAGGUGCUGCAUGGCUGUCGUCAGCUCGUGUUGUGAAAUGUUGGGUUAAGUCCCGCAACGAGCGCAACCCUUAUCCUUUGUUGCCAGCGGUCCGGCCGGGAACUCAAAGGAGACUGCCAGUGAUAAACUGGAGGAAGGUGGGGAUGACGU
rnacentral:rRNA from 1 species